UGAACGCUGGCGGCGUGCCUAAUACAUGCAAGUCGAGCGACCAGACGAGGAGCUUGCUCCUCUGACGUUAGCGGCGGACGGGUGAGUAACACGUGGAUAACCUACCUAUAAGACUGGGAUAACUUCGGGAAACCGGAGCUAAUACCGGAUAAUAUAUUGAACCGCAUGGUUCAAUAGUGAAAGACGGUUUUGCUGUCACUUAUAGAUGGAUCCGCGCCGCAUUAGCUAGUUGGUAAGGUAACGGCUUACCAAGGCGACGAUGCGUAGCCGACCUGAGAGGGUGAUCGGCCACACUGGAACUGAGACACGGCCCAGACUCCUACGGGAGGCAGCAGUAGGGAAUCUUCCGCAAUGGGCGAAAGCCUGACGGAGCAACGCCGCGUGAGUGAUGAAGGUCUUCGGAUCGUAAAACUCUGUUAUUAGGGAAGAACAAAUGUGUAAGUAACUAUGCACGUCUUGACGGUACCUAAUCAGAAAGCCACGGCUAACUACGUG
rnacentral:rRNA from 1 species